rnacentral:rRNA from 1 species
UGCGGUUAUACAAAAAUUAAUUUAAAUUUUAAAAAUAAAUUAUUUAAAAAAAAAUUAAUUUAAUUUAAAAUUUAAAUUAUUAAGUGAAAUUUUAAUUUAAUAAAAAAUUAUUUUAUUUUUUGAUUUAAUAAAUUUUAUAGUUAAACUAGGAUUAGAUACCCUAUUAUUAAAAAUUUAAAUAAAUAAUUUUAAAAUAGUAGAUAUAUAAUAUUAAAACUUAAAUAAAUUGGCGGUAUUUUAGUUCAUUUAGAGGAAUCUGUUUAAUAAUUGAUAAUCCACGAAUAAAUUUACUUAAUUUAUUAUUUUGUAUAUCGUUGUUAAAAAAAUAUUUUUAAAAAAAAAUAAUAUUUUAAAAUUUAAAUAUAAAAUAAAAUCAGAUCAAGAUGCAGAUUAUAAUUAAGAAUAUAAUGGAUUACAAUAAAAUUAUUUAGUUGAAUAUAAAUUUGAAAAAAUUAAUUGAAAAUGGAUUUAAAUGUAAUUUUUAUUAGUUUAUAAUAAUGAUUAAAAAUUAAAAUAUGUACAUAUUGCCCGUCGCUUUCAUUAAUAAGUUGAAAUAAGUCGUAACAAAGUAGGGAUAUUGGAAAAUGUUUCUAGAAAGAA